rnacentral:rRNA from 1 species
CAUGCAAGUCGAACGAGACCUUCGGGUCUAGUGGCGCACGGGUGCGUAACGCGUGGGAAUCUGCCCUUUGGUUCGGAAUAACUCAGGGAAACUUGAGCUAAUACCGGAUAAUGACUUCGGUCCAAAGAUUUAUCGCCAAAGGAUGAGCCCGCGUAAGAUUAGCUAGUUGGUGAGGUAAAGGCUCACCAAGGCGACGAUCUUUAGCUGGUCUGAGAGGAUGAUCAGCCACACUGGGACUGAGACACGGCCCAGACUCCUACGGGAGGCAGCAGUGGGGAAUAUUGGACAAUGGGCGAAAGCCUGAUCCAGCAAUGCCGCGUGAGUGAUGAAGGCCUUAGGGUUGUAAAGCUCUUUUACCCGGGAUGAUAAUGACAGUACCGGGAGAAUAAGCUCCGGCUAACUCCGUGCCAGCAGCCGCGGUAAUACGGAGGGAGCUAGCGUUGUUCGGAAUUACUGGGCGUAAAGCGCACGUAGGCGGCUUUGUAAGUUAGAGGUGAAAGCCCGGGGCUCAACUCCGGAAUUGCCUUUAAGACUGCAUCGCUUGAAUCCGGGAGAGGUGAGUGGAAUUCCGAGUGUAGAGGUGAAAUUCGUAGAUAUUCGGAAGAACACCAGUGGCGAANGCGGCUCACUGGACCGGUAUUGACGCUGA